GACGGAGGGGGCUAGCGUUGUUCGGAAUUACUGGGCGUAAAGAGCACGUAGGCGGCGGUGCAAGUUGGGGGUGAAAUCCCGGGGCUCAACCCUGGAAUUGCCUCCAAAACUGUGCUGCUUGAGUUCGGAAGAGGAGAGUGGAAUUCCCAGUGUAGAGGUGAAAUUCGUAGAUAUUCGGAGGAACACCAGUGGCGAAGGCGGCUCACUGGCUCGAUACUGACGCUGAGGUGCGAAAGCGUGGGGAGCAAACAGG
rnacentral:rRNA from 1 species